CGGUCGAGUAGUGACUUAAUUUCUGAAGAAAAAUAUUUUCACAAGGUAUGGCACCCCGAGGGCAAUUAUUAGUGAUGGUGGAAAACAUUUUUGCAACCGCUUAUUUGCUUCGUUGUUGGCCAAAUAUGGAGUGAAACAUCGUGUCUCAACUCCAUACCACCCUCAGACUAGUUGGUAGGUGGAAAUCUCUAAUAGGGAGUUAAAGAAGAUUCUCGAAGCUACGGUCAAUGCAUCACGUAAAGAUUGGGCUAAGAAACUAGACGAUGCACUUUAGGCGUAUAGAACAGCAUUUAAGACUCCAAUUGGCAUGUCUCCAUAUCGACUGGUAUUUGGAAAAGCUUGUCAUCUGCCGGUUGAGUUAGAGCAUAAAGCAUACUGGCGACAUACUUGCUCAAUUUCAAUAUGAGAGCAGUAUGAGAAAAGAGGGUUCUACAACUUCAUGAGCUAGAUAAGUUUCGUUUGGAUUCGAAUGAGAAUGCAAAGAAUUACAAGGAAAAGACUAAGAAAUGGUACGACAGGCAUAUAAGGGAGAAGGUGUUUGAGGUUGGUCAACAAGUAUUGAUAUUCAAUUCACGCCUCAAGCUUUUUUCGGGAAAGCUAAAGUCUAGGUGGUCGGGUCCAUUCACAGUAGUAGCUGUGUUUCCAUAUGGUGCUGUGGAAGUGGUGUCUCAAGAUCAACCAAGGAGGUUCAAAGUAAACGGACAACAGUUGAAAGCUUAUUGGGGAGGUGACUACUUUAGUGAAAAAAAACCCGUACCACUUGAUAAUGUAGAGUAGCCCGGACAACAAAGUCUAGCUAAAGACUAUAAAUUAAGCGCUUAUUGGGAGGCAACCCAAUUUUUAAACAUUUUAUUUAUUUUGUCUCCUGCAUUGCAUUACAUAUAGAUUUGUUUUAAUUAUUAGUUGCAUUAGAUUUAGGCACGUUUAAAUUUAUAGAAUAUCAUCAUCCGAUCAUGUUUUCAUUGAGGCUCUUAAAUAAAAUGUUGAUUAUUUCGAGUGUUUGGGCUAAGUAACGCAUGUUUUGGAUUAUUUGAUCUCUACUGUUUGAUUUGAUUGCCAUAUGUAGGAACAUGACGUCGUGGAACACUCAAAUCAACAUCGACCAAGGGGAAAGCAUGAUGAGAAAGAUUGUCUAGCCGUCACCUACAGUAUCUUCC
rnacentral:lncRNA from 1 species